CGAAAAGCUAUCCAUGAAGCGAUUUUUCAAACCCCACAUGCAACAAAAUACUUCGUCAAUCGCUUCAUCAGGGAUUUAGAGGUGGUGAAGGAGAAUCAUAGGGUAACAAGCGUGCCGGCUGCACCUGCCAGACGACCUACUGCACCACCAGCGAACUUCGUUAAGAUACAUGUGGACGCAGGGAUCAGGGCACAGAGAAGAGGGUCAGCUGCCGCUAUCUGUCGAGACAGUCAUGGCGUCUAUUUAGGCAGUGCGGCAUUGAUAAUCGAUGGGGUGUAUGAUCCCGCAACCAUGCAGGCUAUAGCCUGCCGAGAGGCUAUUUCAUUAGCACAAGACCUUCAAGUCCAUAAUCUUGUCAUAUCUUCAGAUUCAAAACAGGUGGUCAAUGACAUUGUGAAGGGCAGUCAAGGGGUGUACGGAGCUACCAUCAACGAAAUUCAAGCCAGAUCGGAGGCCUUUUCUUGUAAUUUCAUUUAUGAAAGUCGAGUAGUUACUUUAGAAGCUCAUAAACUAGCUAAGUUUGCUCUUACUUUAGCUCAGGGGCGUCAUGUGUGGCUUGGCCGGCCACAUGACCCAGUUUGUAUCCCACUCUCUGUGGAGUUUAAUCAAUAA
rnacentral:rRNA from 1 species